UACGGAGGGUGCAAGCGUUAUCCGGAUUCACUGGGUUUAAAGGGUGCGUAGGUGGGUCUGUAAGUCAGUGGUGAAAUCUCCGAGCUUAACUCGGAAACUGCCAUUGAUACUAUAGGUCUUGAAUCAUCUGGAGGUAAGCGGAAUAUGUCAUGUAGCGGUGAAAUGCUUAGAUAUGACAUAGAACACCAAUUGCGAAGGCAGCUUACUACGGGGUUAUUGACACUGAGGCACGAAAGCGUGGGGAUCAAACAGG
rnacentral:rRNA from 1 species